GCCGUGAAAGUCCUCGAUUCUUUGUCUAGCGGUAGACGGCCUACGCACGGGGACGACGGACAUUUUUUCAACUCCUUGAUAGUCCCUCUUUACCUCGCUCUCUUAAGUUGACGCCUAUGCGGGCAGGCGGGAAUGAC
rnacentral:antisense_RNA from 1 species